GCUUCUGUAGCUCAGUUGGUAGAGCAAUUCAUUCGUAAUGAAUAGGUCAGCGGUUCGAAUCCGCUCAGAAGCUCCA
rnacentral:tRNA from 1 species